UUGUUUUCUAUUUUUAUUUGGGUUCCAUUAUUAUUCAUGUGCUAGUCAGCGAUUAUUUAAGCAUUGAUCCAUUAUAUCUGGUUAAACGCCUUACUUUUUCAGAUAUAUUUCAGCACUCAAAUUUAGAAUGAGUAACUACUAUCUUUCAUUGUGUGAAUUCUCCCAUGUUGAUGAUUCAUGUGCGGAUGUAUUUACACUAUUAUUAUCCUUAUACAAUGAUACCUAUCCUCAAUAAGCCUGACAUAAAGUUACACAAUUUGAGGGUUCAACAUAAUGUUUUUGGAUUCAUGCAUGUGUACCUUAAUAUUGUUCGAGUAUUUCAGUGCACAGAGCGCUUUGCUGCUUUUCCAAAACACUUGAGUUAUGAUUUAAUGUUUCAUUGUAAAACAAUUGAAUGACAUAUGAUGUUGCUAAUUAUUAUCUGCAGUUGUUCUUUCGAAGCGCGACACCAAUUUUAUUGUUUCAGUUGAGUGUGCCAGUCGAGAAGCUUUUUUUGUUGGAAUAAGCAGUAUUGAUGAAAGAAUGCAUAUAAAUUUUUGAAAAAAUCGUUUGUCCUAAAGAUCAGAUGCUACUAGUUUUUCUAUGGAUUGUUGAUAUACACAGAGGUAUUGUCCAAGGCCGAAAACUGGAAAUUGAAACGUGAACCUGAGCUACGUGUUAUUGAUACAAAUGAUUGCAAUUGCGAUAGAUCUGAUAGUCGUUUUUGGGUCGAAAGUUAGAGUUGAUAAAUCUAAUACAUAAAUAAUUUGACGGAUGAAGGGGAAUCGAAAACGUAGUUACAUAAUGAAAAGUAUACAAAAUGUGUUUAUAGUGCGAUAGCAUAUAUCAUCAUAAAUAGUGUUUUUUAUUACGAAUGGAAGUUAGUAGUAGAAGUACUGAAAAUAUUUAUAUGGAAUCCUAGCCAAACCAUCUUUUUUAACAGCUAUAUUCUAGAAUAAGCAGAUCAACCGGCAAACAUGAUGUCAAUUUGGAAGCAAUGACUAUGAACAUUUUUGUAGAUAUCACCCUUCAGAUAGAUAAAUACCUGAGAAUUAAACUGUGGAAAUGAACACUGCGGGAAAAUGUCACCCUACAGUAAAAUUACGAAUGAUUAUUGGUUCCUAUAUAACGUGCUACAGAAGCUUGCAAUGAAUCAUACCUACGUAAACUAUUGAGCGGAACGAUUUUUCUUUAGCAUCUGGUAAGUGGUAUCGUUUAUGAACAUAUUGGGACAUAAUUUAUAAACAUAGUGAGACAUAAUGGAAGCAUUCUUCUUUAUGGUUGGCGACACCUCAUUUGAAAUAACGCCGUUUGAUGGUACAACAACUUGGCUAUAUUGCUGGUUAAUUUUCGUUUAUGGUCCAAUGGGUUUACUUUUCACUGUACUAACAGCGAAAACCUUGCUAUGAUGCAAAAUCGACUCAAAAAAAGGAGGGUGUUUUUUUUUUUAUCGCACUAACAUGAGACAAAGUGUUUACUCAAUGAAAGUUUCACCGGAAGUAAAUCAAGACGCUGGAUAUGUGUUAUUUGACGAAUUUCGCGCUAAAUCAUUUAGCCUGUUGCAAUCACAAAUGCAAAUGAGAUUGGUUUGUUUUCAUCAGGAAAUGCCAGCAUUAAAUACGAUUCAGACGAUUAAUCAACUUCGGUUGAUGUCAAGAUAAUUUAAUAUUUUUUUAGCCGGAUAUUGCUCAAGUACCAAACGUCAAAAUGUUCCUUGACAUUUACGAUAUAAGUCUCCAUAAGAAUUGCUUACAAUAAAUGUUAUCGUUCUUUAUCCGUUCCAUGCCGAUGAUAUUCGACUCCUGCCGUGUGUGAAUCGCUGUUACAUAUUGUUUCGUUUUUAUCAAGGAAUAUGUUGGCUACCAAUUUUUCAUUGAAGUCGUCGUUUAUCUUCCACCGGGUAUAGAAAACUCAAUUCGGAAAUGGCAACACCUUGUCAGAUUUUAUGAAACUUUUUGUACAUGAAGACUUUGUCACAAAAUACACUUUGCAAAGUUUGUUUUCUCAGAUCAGACUUUUUAUCCAUUUUUGACGUAGAACUACGCCCUUCUUUACUAUGCUCACCUGGGUGCAUUUCCAAAAUUUCACAACACGAAAGUGUAACGAUAUUACUCCAGAGUUUAUUUCUUAAUAACUUUUUCUCUGUUGACUAUUUUCUCUAAUACUUUCUCGAAACGAAUGGAAGAAGGUGUAAGAUUGUUGUUAAUACCACGUGUAAUACUUAAACCUUGUGAUCAAAUAGGGCCAUACACAAAACAUAAAAAUCAACCGAAUCUAUAAAUAUACCCUGUUUGACGUUUGCUAGAUUAAGUCUAUGAUAAUCCAUGAACGGAGACACAUCGAGUACGCAGACCAAGACGCAUAAAUAUAUUCCGUACAGCAUAUUGAUAGUUUCAAUCACUCAAAUAUUGAGUUGUAUAAAAUAUUGAAAUAUAAGAGCGAUUGUGCGACUUGUGUUACGAUUAUCUUUAUGUACCGAUUUCUUCUAGGUCAAAACUCAAAUGAUAUGGAAUGGCGCCUUACUUCUUAGACUACAAACGUAAUCAUCCGACAUCAUCAAAGACUCCAAAGCCACUGAAGGUCCUUUUUCUGUAUACUUCCGAAUAUCAAUUAAAUCGAUUGUUUGAAUUAUACAAGCUUUCCCAUUCUUCAUUACUUGAAUUUGAAACGAUAUUUAGGUGUAUUUAGGAGCACAGAUUAGUUACAUUAAACAUUCUGACACACAAUUGAAUACUACGAAAUAACCAAUAUAGUUCUUUGUGAUAAAAUAAUGAUGGUUUUGAAAAGAACCUAUUAUGAAGGCGUUUGUGAUAGAGAAUGACGAGUUGAGUUCAAAUUUCCAUGGAUACCGCGGACUUCCGUUGUAUAUUUCCAGGAUGACCUGUCUCCUACUUCUUCCGCUUGCGGUUUUAGGCUUUGUAUUUCUAUUGGAGAUGCCUCGAUCGCGGCAUAAUCAACACGUUGACAACGACAGCUAAAUUCGAAAUGAAAGGCUUCUGAGUCGGUGCUAUACAUUUUAAAUAGCAAAUUAGCAGAAAGUUUUACUACAAACUACAAAUGGUUCAAAAAUGGGCCGUAUACAGUAUAGAGAAGUAAAAUUUCGCAUAAUUCUUUGGGUAUACAAUUAUGGUUCUAAAUAGCAACUCACAGAAUUUUAAUGUCCAUGCUGUACGGGAUUAGUUUUUGGUUUUCGGAAGGGCCGAAUUAUGUAGAAAAAACUUUAGAAAACUUUGUUUUUGAGUUGUUUUUAGUUUUAGAAAACUUUGUUUUUGAGUUAUUUUCGGUUUUUGAGUUAUUUUCGGCUAUUGCAAACGAUCAGCAGCAGAAUGAUGCAAUCCAUCUUCUUUGAAGGGGAACUGGCUUUGCGAUCUGAGCGUUUGAGGCUUUAUACCGCACAAAAGGUCUGCUUUCUUAUACUUGGCUUGUUCUUACUGAUGUUGAUGGGAGAACCUCACCUCGACAUCCAGUUCCGUCUGAAGCACUAGAAGAAAUAAACAAUUUACAAUCAAAGUUUACCUUUUAUACUCGUCCAGUAGAUAAUUGGAACUGAUAUGUGCCUGACUAUCUCACAACCGUCGCCCGGAUGCGAAAAAGGCAAGCAAGCGUGAUGAAUUUUCCCCAUUAUAUUCCAAAGUUUUAGAAAACUUUGUUUUUGAGUUAUUUUCGGCUAUUUACGAAUUCAUGACAAAAUUUCAAAUAUAUAGGUAGUUAGAUUAUAUUAAUCCUUCCACUGCUCACUGAGCUAUGAGCUUUAAAAAUACGAGAAAGGCAAAUACGCGUCAUGUGUUUUCCUCUUCGAUGCCCGUUGAUACCGAACAUUUCAGGAAAGUUUAAUUUUGAAUCACUUGAGAUUAUGUCAUUCAACUGAUAAUUUUAUCAUAAAAUUGUGAUCAUAUUUCCGAUGGCGUGUAACAAAUUUAUUUUGUUUCGUUUGAUGCAACAAAAGAUAUAUACUCAGAGGGUAAAUUUUGAAAAGGCGCCCCAUAUUAAGUAUUCACUACAAAAACGUCUUUCGUUCGGAUGAGCUUCUGUUCCAAGAUAACUAAUUAUGUUCCCUAUCUACCGUCGAAAAUUCGAGGACACUUUUUUUGGGAAAGCCUUUUUCUUAUCAAACUGAGUUUUCUCAGUGUAUUUGUAUCGAAAACUAAACCAAUGAAAGUCAUAAUCAUAACUCAGUUUGUGAGAAGAUAUUGUCGAAAUGAGCAACUAAGCAUAUUUUUAUUAAUCAAGAAUUCCUCUGACUUGAGUUUAUGUCAUUGAACUGCUUUAUUUGGCGAAGAAAUUACCUCCACACAAAGACAUCAUUUUAACAAGAUAUCCAGCUCUCUCAUUUAACGAACAAAUCUUUGCCUUUAUAUUUAUUUAUUUAUUUAUAUCGUCAAGCAAAUGUAGACUACAUAUAAAUGGUUUACAAUGUUUACUUAGAUAUUACGCAUUAUUUCUACAACUAAGCUGGAAUUUCAUUUCAUUUUUGGACAAACCAAGGUCAAGAUGUUCGCAAUAUUGAUUGUAGUGGCGCAUUAUUCGAUUGAUUGGGCUAUAUUUUGCAUAAUUUGUUCUAGUGUUUCUUUCUGAUAACAAUUUCCUAGUUCGUAAUUGACGGUUAGGUGUAUAUAAAUUUAGUUGCGAUAAUAAAAAAGGUGAUUGAAUACGUUGAGAAAUAAUGUCGCUGAUAAAAUAAAGCAUUGCAAGGUCGCGGCGUUCUUUAAGUGUUUGAAUAUUGAUGAGCAUGCAGCGUGCUUCAUAUGGUGGUAAAGGAAAUGCUGUCCAGUUUAAUUUACGAAGUGCAUAUAAAAGAAAUUGUUUUUGAUUAGAUUCGAUGCGUUCUUCGUGAAUAAUAUUGUAUGGAUUCCAUACUAGGCUGCAAUAUUCCAAAAUAGGUCUGACAUAUGUAGUGUAUAAUAAUUUUAUUGUGUAUGGGUCCUGAAAGUUAUGACUGAAGCGUUUAAUAAAGCCCAGCAUGCUAUUGGCUUUAUUGAUUAUGAUAUUGUAGUGUUCCACAAAAGUGGGCUUGGAGUCUAAGAUUACGCCUAAAUCUCGUACAAUUUUACAUUUUUCUACAAGUUGGUUUCCUAGAUGUAUGUUUAUAGAUAUAGUUUCAUUUUCCCUGCUGAAAGUUAUUGAGUUCCAUUUUUAAUGUGGAACACAUUUUUGUUUUCUAUAUAGCGGUGCAAACUAGAAACUCAAGAAAAAUACACGUAGAAAUGUGGUCAGGUUUUGAACAAUUACAGCUCAGUCAAUUUUGUAUCAAUUAUUAAUAUUAUGUCACCAUUUGAUUGGAAAUAUUUCUACGUAUUGAUUUGAAUUUUCAUAGCCAUGUAUUUUUAAUUUUAUAUCAUUGAAAUGUUGGUUAAUAGCUAGCAGUGUCCUAUUUUGGCUGCAAAAAAUCUUAGGCAUACCGGAUUUCCCUGCCAUAGUCGACGGUUUUGAAGGAGUAAGCGAUAUAUCAAAGGGAAAGCAGCGCUUUGAUUGGUCAAUCGAAGCAAAAGCAAAGCUGUUGGAAGCACGCGAAUCUACAAAUAGAAGCGAAAUUAUAGCUAACGUUUCAGUCUUAUGCGUAGCUUGCUAGAGGUAGGUUGUUGCUAGACAGCAAGAGAAAAAGUUUGAAGCUUUUAUUGGUAUGCUCUGAUCUUAUGUCAUGCAAGAUUGGAUGAAAUCCCAUGUUAUGUCGUUUCGCCUGAGAAAUUGACAACUACCCCAGGGUAAAUUUUGAGUGCAUAAGACUAAUUUCUAAUUUAUAUAAGAUAUAACUCGAUAGAUAAUGAGAAAUAUUUUAUCGCUUCAACCGAAAUUGCAAAAUGGUAGUAAUCGGUAACUCGCGAUCAAUGUAGCUUGAUAUUGGAUAUUUUAUUUUUCGGGUCAUCUUUUCAAAAUUAUUAAUUUCAAUAAGAUUUAAGUUCAAUUUGUUUUUAAGUACUGUCAAUGCGGAAAGUAUACGAGUACAUUUAACAAUCACUGGAUGAUACAAAAAGAAAGCCUGAAAUCACGAAGUGUGAUAUGGACGAGAAUAUUGAUUAUGUUGGUUGAGAAUAGCACCGAAUCCUUGGAUACUUCUGUAUGUUAUUAUUUUUCUCAAAUAGAAUAUGUUGAAUACUUUAGUUAAUAAAGCUGCAAGAAUUAAUUACCCAAAAUUGAGUGUUUUAGAAAAAUUUUAUUAAGCUGUUUCAACUAAACGUUUUCUUCAAAACAAACAUCUGAUCAAAAUGAAUCCAGAGCUAUAUUUUGACCGAUAUAACAUUUGUCUAAGUGUUUUCAAAUGAUAAAUAAUUGCAUGUUAUAAGGGGAGAAAGUUUUCAGAAUGAAUAAUUAUCUCUACUGGCAACAGUGAUCGCGAGGCAUUUAUUAUUUACAGCAGGGAGCAACCAGAAUAAGAAGAGAAAUAUUUUUCAGGAAAAAGAAGCCAGUUGUCUGAUCCUGUCCUAGGUUUGUGUAGAAGUAAUGGUAUGUCAAUGCGGUCGAAAGCUUUGCUAAAGUCAGUGUAAAGAGUUUCUACGUACACACUUAAAACCAUUUCUUGAGCUCGGCAUAAUAAAAUGCCGAAACUGAUCAGCAACACCUAAAUUUGCUGAUUACUCAGUAAUCAAUACGCAUGUUUCUGAACUUCGUUAAAUGCAUUCACUGAUAUUUCGGUAGAAUGCUUCACUUUGCCGAAAUUUGGCAUAAUUGCUUGCUGAAUAUAUCAGUAAACAACAGAUAUGCCGACAUCAGCAGAGACGUUUGCCGAGAUUUCGUAAUAUGCGCUAGCUGUUGCCGAGAUUCAGCACGACAGCUGUCAUUUAUUGCCACGUUACAUUUUCGCUACGCAUUGCGCGAUUAUUUUCUAAUGAAAUUCUCGAGUGAAAAACGUGUUUAAUCCACCUAGCAGUGAGAUGAUACCUAUUUUUAUCAAUCCGCAUGUGUUUUUUGCAUGAAUAUUCUUCGGUGUUUAAGUUUUCAUGACAUUAUUUUAAUGACCCUCGUUUUAAGCGACAAUUUGAGAUUUCAAUCACUCAUUACUCUGUAAUGUCGAAACUGCAAAUCGGAUCGAAUUUGAAUCUAGAAGUGUGAUAAUCGAUUAAACAUGUCAUGAUAUGUAAGUUCCACUCUAGAGUUUACGGUAAUUUAAGGUACUUCCAGAGCCGGUAUUCAGGAACCAGCAUAACCCAAACCGAUUCGUAUGGCCAUAUGACGAAUAAAUUACAACAGUUUUGAGUUCAACUUUGAAGCUUUUCGGGAUUGUCAUCUUCUAUAUCGGUUUGAAUUUUAAAAAUUCGUCAUCAUGUAAUUCGAGAACCGGAAGUCAUAAUUGGAUAAAAUAAUUAAUUUUUGUAUAUAAGUUUGUUUUAAUUAAAAUUUUUGUUUCUGAAAUUUGAUUAGGCUUUUUUUGAGAAAACGAUUGAGCUUUGAGAAACGAUUUUAUACUGGAACCGGAAUUCUAAAAGCGGUAUGGCCGAAGUAAGAUAAAUUCACCUGAGUAGCUGUACACUUUACAUUUGUUUCAAAACAUUUGAAAAUCAGUUAAGACAUCUUUGAGAGAUCAUAGCACGAAUUAAAUUUUUAGGUGCCUUCUGAUCGACAACUGAAUAUCACUAAAACUGAAAAAAGUUAAUUUUUUUAUCGACUAUCCAAAUCUGCUAACCCGAUAAACCUGAUUAAAUUAUGUGGAAUAGACAUUUUUAUACAAUCCCCGGAACCGGAAGUUGGAUCUGACUGAAAAGCAAGAUGUUUUAUAGAACUUUGAAACUUUUCAUUUGAAUCUUAGAUGAUUCUUAGAUUUCAUUUGCAUCUAUGAUCGGUUCAGCCAUCUUCAAGAAAAAUGAGUUACACAAUUUUGAUUUCGUUUCACAUAUCAUCCUGUAGUUCCGAAACCAGAGGUCGGAACCAAACAUAAUGCAGGAACUUUGUUUGGGAGCAUACGACUUUUCGUAUGAAUCUGAAUUUGUAGAAAAGAAAUUUUCCGAGAAAAUUAAUUGAAGUUAUUUGUCACACACGCAUUUGCUGAUCUCGACGAACUGAUUCGAAUGGUAUAUGGAUGUUAUGUUGUUCCAGCAUUUAUUGCUGUAAGUAGUUUAAAACAAAAUAAUUUAAAAAAAUUCUGCCAUCAUCUGGUUUAUAUAUGUCAUAUUCGAACGAUUAUGUUGCCAAAAACGAGCCGUGCCAAAAUCGGUCCGAGGCUAAAUGUCAUGAAAAAGAAUGCUGUACACAAUCCUUUUGGUUCUUAGAAACAAUUGUAUGUAACAGUAUAAAAAAUCGUGUUUUCCGUUGCUCCCAAGCAUUUCUUUGUCAUACAGCGCUCAAAACUCCUACUGCUGGAAUAGGGGGAAAAGUCGCUUAUAGAAAAAUUUCGAUAUCUCCGUUAAAAAUGGACGGAUUUUAACAAUCUAUGGCUUGUUGGAUAGGUAUUACCGUGCGGAAUCUAAGUCUGAAAACAUAUUCUGUUUUCAAGGUCAAUUGUGACAGAUACUGUCAAAAAACUGAAAAUUUUGACAUAAAACUUUGUAUAACUCAAAAAGUAAACAUCCGAUCUCAAAACCAUUCAAUAGCGUUUUGGGUGACGGGGAGACCUUUCAUUUGCGACUAGUUUGAUGAAAAUCGGUCCAGCCAUCUCUGAGAUCUCGACCUCUUAGUUGACAACACACAUACGGACACACACACAUACACACACACACACACAGACAUUUGCUCAGUUCGUCGAGCUGAAUCGAUUGGUAUAUGUCAUUCGGCCCUCCGGGCCUCGGAAAAAUUUUCGAAAGUUUGAGCGAAUUCUAUACCUAUUUUUUAUAUAUAUAUAAAAAUAGGUAAAAAUGGAUAAUCUUCGAAGAAACGCGGAACCACUUGCAAGUAAAAAUAUUGAAUAAAUAUAGUGACAUGUUUCGCUUUAUAAAAAGCGACUUUAUCAGAUCACAUUAUAAGGGAAAAACACCCAUCACGGGGCUCAAAGAGUCCUCGAGACAAAACUUUGGGGGAUAUGCGAAAAAAUAACCCAAUGCAUGGACAAAUUCAAUAGAUCAAACUCGACUCAAGGUGGCCGCAUCCGGAAACGCCGCUUUUUAUUAUGCUACAUGUUUUAAGGUAGAGGCUUAAAACUGGCAACAAAUUUGUAAGCCUUCUUUAAGUGUUAAUAAAAUGAAUUUUUGGUCCUGAAUGGUGUGUUUAUAAUAUUUAGAAAUUACAAACAAAAUUAAUUGACUAGAUUUUUAAUUACUGAUGAUUCGGUAAUAUGUUUUUUUUUUCAUUUUUUCGUUUUAUUGGAUUGCCGAACAUUCAGCGAACGUUUCACUGAGCAAACAGUAAAUCUUAUGCUGGCGAUUUCGGCAAUAUUUGACGUUUGUUAUUUUAUUUUUGCCGAGUUGAUUGCUGAUUACUCGGCUGUGCGAAUCUCGGCAUUUUUUUGCCGAGACUCAGCUAAAAAAUUUAAGUGUGUAGUUGCCAGCGUCCAUUGCAUUCAGAGUGAAUGUCAUAAAUUCUAAGAGAUUUGUUGUAGUUGAGCGGCCUUUAAAAAAGCCAUGUUGUUUGUUUGUUAUUACAUUGAUGAAAAAGUUUUUCGUUUACAAUUUUUUCAAAUAAUUUUGGAAUGCAUGAGAUAAUGGCUAUUCCACGGUAGUUCCGAAUGGUAGAUUUUGCACCAGAUUUAAAUAUUGGUACAAGAAAGGAAGAUUUCCAUGCUUUAGGAAAAGUACAUUUAUUAAGUGAUAAGUUAAAAAGUAGUUGUAGUUGUAGUGUAAGUUCUUCUGCAAUAUUUUUUAAGAAUAUUGGUGGUAUACUGUCAGGUCCAGGCCCUUUCGAGGCGUCUAAGUUUUUCAGUGCUGUCGAAAUGUCAUGUUCUAAUAGAUUGUUUACAGAGAUGGAGUUGGAAAAUUCAGGUAUGAAAGAGAAGUAUUCUCGGUCACGGUCAGUCUGCUAUUGUCUGAAUAAGAUGUAUAUACUUCUUGAAAAAAAAUUGAAAAUUGAUUGCAGAUUUCUGUACUAUUUUGCCCUACAUGUUCGUCGAGGUGCAUUUGAGAUGAAAAAUUGUUGCUUUUUAGUUUAGUUUUUGUGUAGUUUAAAAAGUUCUUAGGACAAGUCUUUAUUUCGUUUUCAAUUUUGCGGUUAUA